CGGAGGGUGCAAGCGUUAUCCGGAUUCACUGGGUUUAAAGGGUGCGUAGGUGGGUUGGUAAGUCAGUGGUGAAAUCUCCAGGCUUAACUUGGAAACUGCCAUUGAUACUAUCAGUCUUGAAUGCCGUGGAGAUGAGCGGAAUAUGUCAUGUAGCGGUGAAAUGCUUAGAUAUGACAUAGAACACCGAUUGCGAAGGCAGCUCGUUACACGAAUAUUGACACUGAGGCACGAAAGCGUGGGGAUCAAACAGGAUUAGAUACCCUGGUAGUCCACGCCCUAAACGAUGGAUACUCGACAUUUGCAAUAAACUGCAAGUGUCUGAGCGAAAGCAUUAAGUAUCCCACCUGGGAAGUACGACCGCAAGGUUG
rnacentral:rRNA from 1 species